rnacentral:rRNA from 1 species
GGAAUUCCUGGUGGAGCGGUGGAAUGCGCAGAUAUCAGGAGGAACACCGAUGGCGAAGGCAGGUUACUGGGCAGUUACUGACGCUGAGGAGCGAAAGCAUGGGGAGCGAACAGGAUUAGAUACCCUGGUAGUCCAUGCCGUAAACGUUGGGCACUAGGUGUGGGGACCAUUCCACGGUUUCCGCGCCGCAGCUAACGCAUUAAGUGCCCCGCCUGGGGAGUACGGCCGCAAGGCUAAAACUCAAAGAAAUUGACGGGGGCCCGCACAAGCGGUGGAGCAUGUGGUUUAAUUCGAUGAUACGCGAGGAACCUUACCCGG